rnacentral:rRNA from 1 species
GAUGAACGCUGGCGGCGUGCCUAAUACAUGCAAGUCGAGCGAACAGAUGAGGAGCUUGCUCCUCUGACGUUAGCGGCGGACGGGUGAGUAACACGUGGAUAACCUACCUAUAAGACUGGGAUAACUUCGGGAAACCGGAGCUAAUACCGGAUAAUAUAUUGAACCGCAUGGUUCAAUAGUGAAAGACGGUUUUGCUGUCACUUAUAGAUGGAUCCGCGCCGCAUUAGCUAGUUGGUAAGGUAACGGCUUACCAAGGCAACGAUGCGUAGCCGACCGGAGAGGGUGGUCGGCCACACUGGAACUGGGACGGGGUCCAGACUCCUACGGGAGGCAGCAGUAGGGAAUCUUCCGCAAUGGGCGAAAGCCUGACGGAGCAACGCCGCGUGAGUGAUGAAGGUCUUCGGAUCGUAAAACUCUGUUAUUAGGGAAGAACAAAUGUGUAAGUAACUAUGCACGUCUUGACGGUACCUAAUCAGAAAGCCACGGCUAACUACGUG